UGGCGUCAGUGAUGUCUGUUUUACCUACAUUGUUUGAUAUUUCCCUGAGAAAAGCAUUGUUAUCUGAGACGCCA